AAUGAACGCUGGCGGCGUGCUUAACACAUGCAAGUCGUACGAGAAACCCCGGCUUGCCGGGGGAGUAAAGUGGCGCACGGGUGAGUAACGCGUGGGUAAUCUACCCUCGAAUUGGGGAUAACACACCGAAAGGUGUGCUAAUACCGAAUAAGACCACGACCUCCACGGGGGUUGCGGUCAAAGAUGGCCUCUGCUUGCAAGCUGUCGUUUGAGGAUGAGCCGGCGUACCAUUAGCUUGUUGGUGGGGUAAUGGCCUACCAAGGCAACGAUGGUUAGCUGGUCUGAGAGGAUGGCCAGCCACACUGGAACUGGAACACGGUCCAGACUCCUACGGGAGGCAGCAGUGAGGAAUUUUGCGCAAUGGGGGAAACCCUGACGCAGCAACGCCGCGUGAGUGAAGAAGGCCUUCGGGUUGUAAAGCUCUGUCAAGUGGGAAGAACCUUUUUCGGCCGAAUACGCUGAGAAACUGACGGUACCGCUGAAGGAAGCACCGGCUAACUCCGUGCCAGCAGCCGCAGUAA
rnacentral:rRNA from 1 species